rnacentral:rRNA from 1 species
UGACGGGUGAGUAAUGCCUAGGAAUCUGCCUGGUAGUGGGGGACAACGUUUCGAAAGGAACGCUAAUACCGCAUACGUCCUACGGGAGAAAGUGGGGGAUCUUCGGACCUCACGCUAUCAGAUGAGCCUAGGUCGGAUUAGCUAGUUGGUGAGGUAAAGGCUCACCAAGGCGACGAUCCGUAACUGGUCUGAGAGGAUGAUCAGUCACACUGGAACUGAGACACGGUCCAGACUCCUACGGGAGGCAGCAGUGGGGAAUAUUGGACAAUGGGCGAAAGCCUGAUCCAGCCAUGCCGCGUGUGUGAAGAAGGUCUUCGGAUUGUAAAGCACUUUAAGUUGGGAGGAAGGGCAGUAAGUUAAUACCUUGCUGUUUUGACGUUACCAACAGAAUAAGCACCGGCUAACUUCGUGCCAGCAGCCGCGGUAAUACGAAGGGUGCAAGCGUUAAUCGGAAUUACUGGGCGUAAAGCGCGCGUAGGUGGUUCGUUAAGUUGGAUGUGAAAGCCCCGGACUCAACCUGGGAACUGCAUCCAAAACUGGCGAGCUAGAG